CCAGCGAGCCUCCCGGCGAGC
rnacentral:miRNA from 1 species